UACGGAGGGGGCUAGCGUUGUUCGGAAUUACUGGGCGUAAAGCGCGCGUAGGCGGACCUGCAAGUCGGGGGUGAAAGCCCGAGGGCUCAACCCUCGGAACUGCCUUCGAAUACUGCGGGUCUCGAGUCCGGGAGAGGUGAGUGGAAUUCCUAGUGUAGAGGUGAAAAUUCGUAGAUAUUAGGAAGAACACCAGUGGCGAAGGACGGCUGCUCUG
rnacentral:rRNA from 1 species